GCCAUUCUGGUAGCAUUUUAGAUGUCUGUUCCAAUCAGCGUACUAUUUUCAUGUGUUCAAUAAUUGUCUCCACAGCUGAUCAGAACCCAGAGCAUGCCUAUCGAUUAAUUCUUGGACUUUUUACAUUGAAACAGUGCUUAUCAGGACGAAGGGUUUAAAGGACUUGGUUAUUUAAAUGCAUUUCGAUGUGAUCCUAUUAUAUAUAACAAUUUCUUCAAUAGCAGUUUGUUGUUACUUGUUACUUUAUUUUAUUUUACUUGAUAGAUAGAUGUUUAAGGCUUAAUUGAUGUUGCAUGAUUGCUUUUUUCCUUAUACAUGGAUUUUAAUAUUUAUAAAAAUUGGAAGAACUAGUGCUGCUUGUCUUUAGAUUCUCAAAUAGCUAUUUUUGUUGCUUGAGUUUGAUUAUUUUUGUAUAAAAAAUAACAAGAUAGUCUAUAAUAAAUAUUUGUCUACAUUUUAUAGAAUAGCAUGUUAGGCAAAACCUAAUAUAUUGACAUUGAAAAUAAUGUACAAAGGCAGUUUUAUUAAAUCAAAAAGCAGUGUCAUAAAAACCGUUUUAUUCAACCUCACUUUCUCAUUUGUAAUGACUUCAAACGAUUAAAUUUUUCUCAACAAUAUUAGAAAUUUUUUGUGAUUUUAAUUUCACAGAACUUGUUCUUCAUAAUAAUGGAAACUAGUCAUUGGAAAUUAGACUAGUUUUUCAAAUCCAACAAACACCAUUUUGCUAAAUCAAAACUUUUGUGGUGUUGAAACUGUUUUUAAUAAUGAGAAAUUCAAUUUCAUCACUUCAUAGUUUUUUGUUUUCAACAUAUACUUAACUUCUUAAUGAGUAUGAUAGGUAAUUCUUUUAUUACUUUUGACUAUAGUGCAACUAGGUUUAGAAAACUUUUUCUUGAUGAUGAUGGCAACUUUAGAGAUCUACAACUUUUAUCCUAAGCUAUUGAGGGAAGAAAUUGGAGGAAGAAGAUAGGAAAAAAAUUGGGGGAAUAAAUUUAAGAUCAAGGAAGAUGAAUAAUCAAAUGAAGAAGAUGAAGGAUAUAUUUUUAAUACAUUUUUUUUUAAUUUACUGUUUUUUUAGUCUUUACCUAGUGAAAUAUACAUGUGAGAAAUGGUGACAUACGAGAUGUCAUACUACUCAUGUAAUCAUCUACAUCAGUAGCAAAUUAUUAAAGUCAACAGUCAACUAAACGUCAAAUAUUAAAUUGAUUUAUCUAAUUUAAAUUUUUAAUUCAAUUAAAAAUUAAAGUAACAAAAUAUCAGAACCCAGAGCAUGCCUAUCGAUUAAUUCUUGGACUUUUUACAUUGAAACAGUGCUUAUCAGGACGAAGGGUUUAAAGGACUUGGUUAUUUAAAUGCAUUUCGAUGUGAUCCUAUUAUAUAUAACAAUUUCUUCAAUAGCAGUUUGUUGUUACUUGUUACUUUAUUUUAUUUUACUUGAUAGAUAGAUGUUUAAGGCUUAAUUGAUGUUGCAUGAUUGCUUUUUUCCUUAUACAUGGAUUUUAAUAUUUAUAAAAAUUGGAAG
rnacentral:lncRNA from 1 species